AUUUAGUUAUAAAAUAUCGUCUUGCGGUGUACCAUAAAUUUGAUAUCAUAUAUCCAUAGAUCAUCCUAAAAAAAUAUUCAAAAU
rnacentral:sRNA from 1 species